CCCCACCCAUUGCACGCUAAUCGUAAGUUCCAGACCCACCCGAUCCCACACGCUUCCUUCACAGUAGAACCCUUCUUUUCUCUCUCUGGUUCUCAUUUUCACAAAAAACCUAGUGUCCGCUCAGAACCGCAGCGCCGACUUCACCAUGGAUGCUGAUGAGAAACAAAUGAUAGAUAUUGAGGAGGAGAUACGUUCUUUGCAGCUUGACUCGGCAGCAGAAGAAAAUAAUGGGGUUGUUAAUCCUGAGGAUGCAAAGGCAGAAGAAGUUGAGGAAGUGGAUAAGAUGGAGGAAGAUUCGAAGGAAGAUGUCCAUAAAGAGGCAGUGCAGGUUGAACAAAAAGUGAAAGAUAAGGAAAUCUCUGCCUCAGAUAAGAAACCAGUGGUUGAGAAGGAGGUUUCUAAGAAGAGGCACUUGAAUGUUGUCUUUAUUGGCCAUGUUGAUGCUGGUAAGUCCACUAUUGGAGGCCAAAUACUUUUUCUCAGUGGUCAGGUGGAUGAUCGUACAAUCCAAAAAUAUGAAAAAGAAGCAAAGGACAAAAGUAGAGAAAGCUGGUAUAUGGCGUAUAUUAUGGACACUAAUGAAGAGGAGAGAAUCAAGGGGAAGACUGUUGAAGUUGGAAGAGGUCACUUUGAAACAGAGACGACAAGAUUUACAAUUUUGGAUGCACCGGGUCACAAAAGUUAUGUCCCAAAUAUGAUCAGUGGUGCAUCUCAAGCUGAUGUAGGCGUACUGGUAAUUUCUGCACGAAAAGGGGAAUUCGAAACUGGAUAUGAGAGAGGUGGACAGACCCGUGAACAUGUUCAGCUCGCAAAAACCCUGGGUGUGUCUAAGCUGCUUGUAGUUGUGAAUAAGAUGGAUGACCCUACUGUCAAUUGGUCAAAGCAAAGGUAUGAAGAAAUUGAGUCGAAGAUGAUUCCAUUUUUAAGGUCUUCAGGAUACAAUGUCAAGAAAGAUGUCCAGUUCCUGCCAAUAUCUGGUCUGCUAGGUACAAACAUGAAAAAAAGAUUGGAUAAAGGCAUUUGUCCAUGGUGGGAUGGUCCCUGCCUCUUUGAAGCCCUUGAUGCCACCGACAUUCCUGAACGAGAUCCCAAAGGUCCAUUUAGGAUGCCUGUUAUAGACAAAUUCAGAGAGAAGGGAAUUGUUGUUAUGGGAAAAGUAGAAUCUGGCACUGUGUGUGAGGGAGAUUCCUUGUUGAUCAUGCCAAAUAAGGCUCAUGUUAAAGUUAUUGAUAUAUACUGUGAUGAAGAUGAGGUCAGAUAUGCAGGGCCAGGUGAAAAUGUACGGGUUAGACUAACUGGGGUUGAAGAAGAGGGCAUAUUAUCGGGCUUUGUUUUGUCAAGCAUUGCUAAACCAAUACAUGCUGUUACUGAGUUUGUUGCACAGUUGCAGAUCCUUGAGUUGCUGGACAAUGCAAUUUUUACAGCUGGCUAUAAGGCUGUCUUGCACAUUCAUGCUGUUGUUGAAGAAUGUGAGAUUGUUGAGUUGUUACAGCAAAUUGAUCCAAAGACAAAGAAACCUAUGAAAAAGAAAGUUCUCUUUGUGAAAAAUAGUGCCGUUGUUGUAUGUCGCGUUCAGGUGAAUAAUUUAAUAUGCAUAGAGACGUUCUCAGAUUUUCCUCAACUUGGAAGGUUCACUCUUCGUACUGAAGGAAAAACAGUUGCAGUGGGAAAGGUUACCAGUCUUUUAUAAGUAUUUAAACAAUUUUUGGCAUAAGAGUUCGUUCUUUCACAAAUUUGUCAAAUUGCUUUUUGGGAGGCUUGCCUUCAAAUCGUCAUAUCUUGAUCAAAGGCAACCUGAACAGUGGGGCAUAAAUGUUGCAUUUCAUAGCAGCUUGAAGGGGUCCUAUGUUCUAAUCAAAUCUGGUACAUUGCAUUAUACAGCGAGUAGUUUUAUGAACAUUUAAUUUUCAUGGCUGAUGCCCGUGUGUUCUGGGUGGGGCUUUUGGGGCGUUGUUGCUUUGGGUUAUUUUAUGGGUGAUAUUCGACCUGAUUCACGAAUUGCCCAUAUUUUAGCUUCAUAUGAUUAUGAAUAAUGGUUUUGAAUCAGUCUUAUCUGAUUAAUGUUAGUUAAUCUGGUCUGUAUUUUUAAUUUUUGGUGCUUUGAUAUCCCCUUAAAUGGCCCCUCGAAAUUGAUUAUUGGUUUCUAUUUAUGAUUUCGAGUAAUUUAUUAAAUUGAUUUCUGAA